rnacentral:rRNA from 1 species
UUAAGCGACUAAGCGUACACGGUGGAUGCCCGCAGUCAGAGGCGAUGAAGGACGUGCUAAUCUGCGAUAAGCGUCGGUAAGGUGAUAUGAACCGUUAUAACCGGCGAUUUCCGAAUGGGGAAACCCAGUGUGAUUCGUCACACUAUCAUUAACUGAAUCCAUAGGUUAAUGAGGCGAACCGGGGGAACUGAAACAUCUAAGUACCCCGAGGAAAAGAAAUCAACCGAGAUUCCCCCAGUAGCGGCGAGCGAACGGGGAGGAGCCCAGAGCCUGAAUCAGUGUGUGUGUUAGUGGAAGCGUCUGGAAAGGCGCGCGAUACAGGGUGACAGCCCCGUACACAAAAAUGCACAUGCUGUGAGCUCGAUGAGUAGGGCGGGACACGUGGUAUCCUGUCUGAAUAUGGGGGGACCAUCCUCCAAGGCUAAAUACUCCUGACUGACCGAUAGUGAACCAGUACCGUGAGGGAAAGGCGAAAAGAACCCCGGCGAGGGGAGUGAAAAAGAACCUGAAACCGUGUACGUACAAGCAGUGGGAGCCUCUUUAUGGGGUGACUGCGUACCUUUUGUAUAAUGGGUCAGCGACUUAUAUUCUGUAGCAAGGUUAACCGAAUAGGGAGCCGAAGGGAAACCGAGUCUUAACUGGGCGUUAAGUUGCAGGGUAUAGACCCGAAACCCGGUGAUUCAGCCAUGGGCAGGUUGAAGGUUGGGUAACACUAACUGGAGGACCGAACCGACUAAUGUUGAAAAAUUAGCGGAUGACUUGUGGCUGGGGGUGAAAGGCCAAUCAAACCGGGAGAUAGCUGGUUCUCCCCGAAAGCUAUUUAGGUAGCGCCUCGUGAAUUCAUCUCCGGGGGUAGAGCACUGUUUCGGCAAGGGGGUCAUCCCGACUUACCAACCCGAUGCAAACUGCGAAUACCGGAGAAUGUUAUCACGGGAGACACACGGCGGGUGCUAACGUCCGUCGUGAAGAGGGAAACAACCCAGACCGCCAGCUAAGGUCCCAAAGUCAUGGUUAAGUGGGAAACGAUGUGGGAAGGCCCAGACAGCCAGGAUGUUGGCUUAGAAGCAGCCAUCAUUUAAAGAAAGCGUAAUAGCUCACUGGUCGAGUCGGCCUGCGCGGAAGAUGUAACGGGGCUAAACCAUGCACCGAAGCUGCGGCAGCGACACUAUGUGUUGUUGGGUAGGGGAGCGUUCUGUAAGCCUGCGAAGGUGUACUGUGAGGUAUGCUGGAGGUAUCAGAAGUGCGAAUGCUGACAUAAGUAACGAUAAAGCGGGUGAAAAGCCCGCUCGCCGGAAGACCAAGGGUUCCUGUCCAACGUUAAUCGGGGCAGGGUGAGUCGACCCCUAAGGCGAGGCCGAAAGGCGUAGUCGAUGGGAAACAGGUUAAUAUUCCUGUACUUGGUGUUACUGCGAAGGGGGGGGACGGAGAAGGCUAUGUUGGCCGGGCGACGGUUGUCCCGGUUUAAGCGUGUAGGCUGGUUUUCCAGGCAAAUCCGGAAAAUCAAGGCUGAGGCGUGAUGACGAGGCACUACGGUGCUGAAGCAACAAAUGCCCUGCUUCCAGGAAAAGCCUCUAAGCAUCAGGUAACAUCAAAUCGUACCCCAAACCGACACAGGUGGUCAGGUAGAGAAUACCAAGGCGCUUGAGAGAACUCGGGUGAAGGAACUAGGCAAAAUGGUGCCGUAACUUCGGGAGAAGGCACGCUGAUAUGUAGGUGAAGUCCCUCGCGGAUGGAGCUGAAAUCAGUCGAAGAUACCAGCUGGCUGCAACUGUUUAUUAAAAACACAGCACUGUGCAAACACGAAAGUGGACGUAUACGGUGUGACGCCUGCCCGGUGCCGGAAGGUUAAUUGAUGGGGUUAGCGGUAACGCGAAGCUCUUGAUCGAAGCCCCGGUAAACGGCGGCCGUAACUAUAACGGUCCUAAGGUAGCGAAAUUCCUUGUCGGGUAAGUUCCGACCUGCACGAAUGGCGUAAUGAUGGCCAGGCUGUCUCCACCCGAGACUCAGUGAAAUUGAACUCGCUGUGAAGAUGCAGUGUACCCGCGGCAAGACGGAAAGACCCCGUGAACCUUUACUAUAGCUUGACACUGAACAUUGAGCCUUGAUGUGUAGGAUAGGUGGGAGGCUUUGAAGUGUGGACGCCAGUCUGCAUGGAGCCGACCUUGAAAUACCACCCUUUAAUGUUUGAUGUUCUAACGUUGGCCCCUAAUCGGGGUUGCGGACAGUGUCUGGUGGGUAGUUUGACUGGGGCGGUCUCCUCCUAAAGAGUAACGGAGGAGCACGAAGGUUGGCUAAUCCUGGUCGGACAUCAGGAGGUUAGUGCAAUGGCAUAAGCCAGCUUGACUGCGAGCGUGACGGCGCGAGCAGGUGCGAAAGCAGGUCAUAGUGAUCCGGUGGUUCUGAAUGGAAGGGCCAUCGCUCAACGGAUAAAAGGUACUCCGGGGAUAACAGGCUGAUACCGCCCAAGAGUUCAUAUCGACGGCGGUGUUUGGCACCUCGAUGUCGGCUCAUCACAUCCUGGGGCUGAAGUAGGUCCCAAGGGUAUGGCUGUUCGCCAUUUAAAGUGGUACGCGAGCUGGGUUUAGAACGUCGUGAGACAGUUCGGUCCCUAUCUGCCGUGGGCGCUGGAGAACUGAGGGGGGCUGCUCCUAGUACGAGAGGACCGGAGUGGACGCAUCACUGGUGUUCGGGUUGUCAUGCCAAUGGCACUGCCCGGUAGCUAAAUGCGGAAGAGAUAAGUGCUGAAAGCAUCUAAGCACGAAACUUGCCCCGAGAUGAGUUCUCCUGACUCCUGAGAGUCCUGAAGGAACGUUGAAGACGACGACGUUGAUAGGCCGGGUGUAAGCGCAGCGAUGCGUUGAGCUAACCGGUACUAAUGAACCGUGAGGCUUAACCU